UGAGGAACAUGUCUUUCGGUGGGGGUAGCCGACCCAACGGCCGGGUAAUACCGCAUACGCUGCUCGGAGCUCCUGCUCUGAGUCGGAAAGCAGCAAUGCGCCGAUUGAGUGCCUUGCGGCUUAUCAGCUAGUUGGUGAGGUAAUGGCUCACCAAGGCGACGACGGGUAGCUGGUCUGAGAGGAUGAUCAGCCACAUUGGGACUGAGACCAGGCCCCAAG
rnacentral:rRNA from 1 species